GCUUCUGUCGUGAGUGGCACACGUAGG
rnacentral:piRNA from 1 species